UACGUAGGGGGCAAGCGUUGUCCGGAUUUAUUGGGCGUAAAGAGCGUGUAGGCGGCCAAGCAGGUCAGCUGUGAAAACUCGAGGCUCAACCUCGAGACGUCGGUUGAAACCGCUUGGCUAGAGUCCGGAAGAGGAGAGUGGAAUUCCCGGUGUAGCGGUGAAAUGCGCAGAUAUCAGGAGGAACACCGAUGGCGAAGGCAGGUCUCUGGGCUGUAACUGACGCUGAGGAGCGAAAGCAUGGGGAGCGAACAGG
rnacentral:rRNA from 1 species